GAUGAACGCUGGCGGCGUGCUUAACACAUGCAAGUCGAACGGAAAGGCCCUGCUUUUGUGGGGUGCUCGAGUGGCGAACGGGUGAGUAACACGUGAGUAACCUGCCCUUGACUUUGGGAUAACUUCAGGAAACUGGGGCUAAUACCGGAUAGGAGCUCCUGCUGCAUGGUGGGGGUUGGAAAGUUUCGGCGGUUGGGGAUGGACUCGCGGCUUAUCAGCUUGUUGGUGGGGUAGUGGCUUACCAAGGCUUUGACGGGUAGCCGGCCUGAGAGGGUGAACGGCCCCAAUGGGACUGGGGUACGGCCCAGACUCCUACGGGAGGGAGCAGGGGGGAAUAUUGCACAAUGGGCGGAAGCCUGAUGCAGCAACGCCGGGGGCGGGAAGACCGCCUUCGGGGUGGAAACCGCUUUCGCCUGUGACGAAGCGUGAGUGACGGUAAUGGGUAAAGAAGCACCGGCUAACUACGUG
rnacentral:rRNA from 1 species